rnacentral:rRNA from 1 species
UACGAAGGGGGCUAGCGUUGUUCGGAAUCACUGGGCGUAAAGGGCGCGUAGGCGGCCAAUCAAGUCGGGGGUGAAAGCCUGUGGCUUAACCACAGAAUUGCCUUCGAUACUGUUUGGCUUGAGACCGGAAGAGGUAAGUGGAACUGCGAGUGUAGAGGUGAAAUUCGUAGAUAUUCGCAAGAACACCAGUGGCGAAGGCGGCUUACUGGUCCGGUUCUGACGCUGAGGCGCGAAAGCGUGGGGAUCAAACA